rnacentral:rRNA from 1 species
UACAGAGGUGGCAAGCGUUGUUCGGAAUUACUGGGCGUAAAGGGCGCGUAGGCGGCCUUCUAAGUCAGACGUGAAAUCCCCCGGCUUAACCUGGGAACUGCGUCUGAUACUGGGAGGCUUGAGUAUGGGAGAGGGAUGUAGAAUUCCAGGUGUAGCGGUGAAAUGCGUAGAUAUCUGGAGGAACACCGGUGGCGAAGGCGGCAUCCUGGACCGGCAUUGACGCUGAGGAGCGAAAGCCAGGGGAGCAAACGGG